GAGUUUGAUCAUGGCUCAGAUUGAACGCUGGCGGCAUGCCUUACACAUGCAAGUCGAACGGCAGCAUGAUCUAGCUUGCUAGAUUGAUGGCGAGUGGCGAACGGGUGAGUAAUACAUCGGAACGUGCCCUGUAGUGGGGGUAACGUAGUCGAAAGAUUAGCUAAUACCGCGAUACGACCUGAGGGUGAAAGUGGGGGACCGGCAAGGCCGUCAUGCUAUAGGAGCGGCCGAUGUCUGAUUAGCUAGUUGGUGGGGUAAAGGCCCGACCAAGGCGACGAUCAGUAGCUGGUCUGAGAGGACGAUCAGCCACACUGGGAC
rnacentral:rRNA from 1 species